CACCGCGGUUAUACGAGAGGCCCUAGUUGAUUCACUCGGCGUAAAGAGUGGUUAUGGAGAAUAAAAUACUAAAGCCGAAGGCCCCUUAGGCCGUCAUACGCACCUAGAGGCUCGAAUUAUAGACACGAAAGUAGCUUUACCCCUUCCCACCAGAACCCACGACAGCUGGGACA
rnacentral:rRNA from 1 species